UUGCAUCAGCUGAAGGGCUUAGCGCCUCAAUACAGCCGCAGUGGAGGACCAGAUCUUUAUGAUUGUCUGACACGCCUCUGAACGUGCUAGUGUAAUGUAACUGCGAAGCACCCUUUCAUCUUAGCAAAUUGACAAAGAUCAAAGUAUGCCGUUCUAUGCCUAUGACUUCGGUGUCGGGGCCGGAUCUGGCAAGAAAACGAACAAAAUGCAGGAUGAAAACGCACGGGAUCAGUCAAGUGUCUAAGCAAUUGCAGCUGUUAUAAG
rnacentral:lncRNA from 1 species